UGAGCUUCCCCUUCCUUCCCCUUGUCCAGGCUCAGCAGGGGCUCUGGGCUGAUCCUACUCUUCCCACUGGAGGGAGCCGUGGGUGCUGGGGGCUCUGGGGGCCUCCUGGCCUCUGGGUGGUCGUGGGCUGCUGGCUUAGGGUGAGGGCACCAGGAUCCGGGCUCAGGGACGUCUGUGCCCGCCGUUCCCACUUCCCUUCGACCUCCCCCACCUGAUUUCUUCUCUGCCCUCCCCUCCCUGCCGCUAAGGAGUCUUUGGCCUCUGCUGAUCUUCUUUAAACUCCCUGCUGCAGCGGUUCACGGAAACUUCCCAAUUACCACAUGAUGACACUGGCAAUGGCUUCUCACGUUCUCUGUGGCCAGACUGUGCUCAACACUCCAACCAUUAUCUCGUUUACCUCAGAAACGUCCCUAAGCUGCGGGCAGGGGCAGUGUCGUGGUGACCGUUCCUCCCUUUUCCAGGCGACUAACCUGGGGUUCCAGAGGUCGGCCCUUCUUUGUCCUGGUGGACGGCCUAAGGCCGAGGUGUCCGACCCGGGACCGAGUGUCCCUGUCACAGGAGACUGGCUGACACCUGCAUGCAGUUUAUUCCAGCCAAGACAGCCACGCCAAAGGACCACGCCGACGGGAGGAGAGAAAGGCAUCAUCACAUUUUAUGAAUGACAGAUGGCUUUUACCACACCUUUGCAUGAUCGCUUAUGGUAAUAGGACUGCGGUGCCCUGAGACGUGGGGAUCUGCGUGAGUGCCCCCGGCAAAGUCUGCUCUUCCGGCCUCGAAUCUGGAUCCCAGGAGCCCGUCCAUAUCCCUCAUCCAGCAAACUCCAUGGCCAUGCAGGGCUCCUCAGGACACUGCAGUUGUGCCCUGUUUAAAACAAUAACUGUUUCUCAAGUUUCUUGGAGUGAAGCCACCAUGACCUUUGCAACAGACGAAGCCUACACUUUUUCCAAGUGUGACUCAAAGGACAAAAGGUUCAUGCACAAGGCAGUUCUAAAAGUGGAUGGGUAAUUGCUGGUUCUGCUUCCUGUAAGGAUUUUGUAAGAUCACACCAAACCCACUCCCUUACAGAAAACAGCUUCAAAAUCUGUACACAAUGCAAACAGGCUGCUUGUGGGCGUUGGAGAGUGAACAGCAAGACGGACCUGGGGUGUACACGGGGGAUAAAGGAGUUGCAGGAAGCACGUUCUCUUUGACCGUGGCUGUUAGCCUGAGCACUAUGUAGUUAGGGCAUGAGGAGCUGGGGGUCCUCAGGGAAGACCACAGUCUUCAUGGCCUGGAACAGGAGCAGGACGAAAUUGGGGAAGCUGUGGCCAGUGGAGGGGGGGAGCGUCCAGAAGGGGAAACUUGGCGGACUCUACUCAUGUUUCCGACUGGCCCUGAACUGCACACACUCAAAGCAGAUAAAAGAAGCCCAGCUAAAGGCUGGUACAAAAUGACCUUCUUUAUAAUGCUGGUUGUGUUCAUUGUUCAAUAUUAAUAUAGCUGUUCCCGCUUUUUUUUUUUUUGACUAGUGUUAGUACAGUGUAUCUUUUAAAAUCCCAUUAGUUUUCAUGUAUUUGUGAAUUUAUAUUUAAAGUGGGUUUUGGGUAGGCAGCAAUUAGUUGGGUCUUGCUUUGUUAUUAAGUCUGACAAACUGCCACUGAAUUAGACCAAUGGUUAUAGAUCAUUUUCAUCUACCAUCACUGUUGAUAAUGGUUGGACUUAAACCACCAUCUUGCUAUUUGCAUUUUAUUUAUCCUGUCUACUUUUUGUUUCCUGUUCCUCUUAGCCAGCCUUCUUCUGGACUGGGUAUUUUUUAAUCAUCCCAUUUAAUCACUUCUGUUGGCUUAUUCCCCAUAACUCUGUCUGUACAUAUGUAUGUGUGCGUGUGUGUGUAUACAUUUUAGGGUUUAUAGUGUGCACCUUCAACUUAUCAUAAUCUAUCUUCAAAUAAUAUUACACUACAUCAUGAUGGUUUAAUAACCUUACAGCAGCACACUUCCAUUCCCUGCCCUCCUUCAUGUCCUUGUGGGCACAUAUUUUAUUUCUCUACAUGUUCUAUACCCAGCAAAACAUGCUUUUCCUUCCUGUGCUUCUAUCGGGUCUCCUAUAAUGUCAUUUUCCUCUUGUCCAAAGGACUUUCUUUAAUAUCUCUUAGUGCUUAUCUGCUGGUAUGAUUAAUAUUUUAGCUUUUAUAUGUCUGAAAAACUUGAUAUCUCACCCUGUUUCUACCUUUGUUGCCAGGUACAGAAUCACAAAUCAACAGGCUUUUCCCGGCAGUACUUUGCAGAGCUUGUUCCACUGUCCUCUAGCUCGCCUCAUUUUCAAGGAGAAACCUGUCGUCAUCCUUGUCUUUGUUCCUCUGUACCCAGCACGUCUCUUUUCUUCUGCCUGCUGUUAAGAUUGUCUCGUUCUUACCCAGUUUAAGCAGUUUGGUUAAGAUGUGCCUUCUUCGUACUUCAUACUUUUUGGACUGGGAUAUGUAGCUUUUAAAAAGCAAAUUUCAAAAGAUUUCAGUCAUUAUGUCCUCCUUUUUUUUCUGUUUUUUUUUCUUUGUUUUCUUUCUGGGACUCUAAAUGUAUGAAUUUUAGGCCAAUUGAAGUUGCCCCCCAAUUAGCUUUCUGCUCCUUUUGAAGGGGUCUAUUUUCUGUCUGUGUUUCACUUUGGAUGGUUUCUAUUAUAUACCUUUAAGUUCAUUAAUCUUUCCUUUUGUAGUGUCUGUCUAAUCUCAUCAUCUCAUCCAGUGAAUUUUCUUUAUCUCAGAAAUGGUUUCAUCUCUAAAAGUUAGAAUUGGGACUUUUUAAUGUUUUUCAUAUCUCUGCUUAACGUUAUCAUGUGGAAUAGAGUGAUAAUAACUACAGUUCAUCUGUGUCUAGGAAUGCCCUCAUCUGUGCCAUUUGUGAAUUAGUUUCAAUUUGUUGAUAUUCCUCAUUACAUGAUGUGUUUUCCUGCCUCUUUGCAUACUUGGUGAUUUUUUACUGUAUGCUAGACAUCAUGUACUUUUCCUUGUUAGAUCCUGGAUAGUUUUGCACUCCUAAAAUUAUUUUAAAACUUUUCAGGGAUGAAGUUACUUUACUUGGAAACAAUUUGAUAUAUUUGAGGCUUGAUUUUAAGCUUUUUUGGGUGGGGCCUAAAUUAGUCUAGGACUGAUUAUGCUCUACUACUGAGGUGAUACCAUGCUGAAAAAGCUUAAUAAGGAGAAAGAUCAAUCAAUAAAUAUUCACGUAUAUUCACAAAAUAUAAUGAGGAGAAAAAUCAAUCAGUAAAUAUUCACGUAACCCUAAAAAAAGUUAAGAAAUGAGAAACAAAGGGGGGAACUGGAGGGUAUGUAUAGAGAGCGAGGCAUAAAAUUACAGACCCAGACAUAACCAUGUCAAUACUUAUUUAAAUAUGAGUGGACCAAAGAUUUCAGGUAAAACGCAGAGGUUGUCAGAAUAGAUAUGAAAACAAGACCCACACACAUGCUGUCUUCCAAAAUUGCACUUGAAGAACAGAGACACAGGUAGCUUUAAAUGACAUUAAAGUUAAAGCAUAAACACUGGAAAGGGAGAAGAAGAACUGCCUCUUUAUGCAGAUAUCAUGAAUCAUGUAUGAGGAAGUAUCUUAAGAAACUUACAAACAACUAGCAUAGGCACUGAGAAAGCGUGGUCUACUCAUCAACCACAAACAGGAAUGAAGCCCUAACAUGCCACAAUAUGGAUGAACCUUGAAACUGAAAACAUGAUGAGUGAAAGAAGACGGACACAAAGGGCCGCAUGUUAUAUGAUUCCAGUUAUACGAAAUGGGCAGAUCUAAAGAGGCAGAACGCAGGUUAGUGGUGACAGGAGCUGGGGGAAGGGAGGAACAGAGAGUGACACCUCGAUUGAUGUGGUGUCUCCUUUCUUGGUGAUGCGAAUGUCCUGGGGCCGACAACGUGGUGAACGCACUGGAUGCCACUGAAUUGUGCACUUCAAAAUUGUGAAAAUAGUGAAUUUUAUAAUAUGUGAAUUUUACCACCAUAAAAACCAAACUAUUAGUACAAAUAAAAUUAGUUUAGCCAAGUUGCAGCAUUUAAC